UACGUAGGGGGCUAGCGUUGUCCGGAAUCAUUGGGCGUAAAGCGCGUGUAGGACGGUCCGGUAAGUCCGCUGUGAAAGUCGGGGGCUCAACCCUCGGAUGCCGGUGGAUACUGUCGGGCUUGAGUACGGAAGAGGCGAGUGGAAUUCCUGGUGUAGCGGUGAAAUGCGCAGAUAUCAGGAGGAACACCGGUGGCGAAGGCGG
rnacentral:rRNA from 1 species